rnacentral:rRNA from 1 species
UACGAGUGCCCCGAGCGUUAUCCGGAAUCAUUGGGCGUAAAGGGUGUGUAGGCGGCAGUGUUAGUCAAUUGCUAAAGCCUGGGGCUCAACCCCAGUAGUGCGAUUGAUACGGCACAGCUAGAGGAUGGCAGGGAUGUAUGGAACUCAUGGAGUAGGGGUGAAAUCCGUUGAUAUCAUGGGGAACACCGAAAGCGAAGGCAGUACAUUGGGCCACUCCUGACACUGAAACACGAAGGCGUGGGUAGCGAAUGGG